rnacentral:rRNA from 1 species
AAACUGUUAACCUUGAGUGCGAGAGAAGGAAGUGGAAUUCCUGGUGUAGCGGUGAAAUGCGUAGAUAUCAGGAGGAACACCGGUGGCGAAGGCGGCUUCCUAGCUCGUAACUGACGCUAAGGUGCAAAAGCGUGGGUAGCAAACAGGAUUAGAUACCCUGGUAGUCCACGCUGUAAACGAUGUAUACUUGAUGUUGGGGGAUCUAACCCCCUCAGUAUCGUAGCUAAUGCGAUAAGUAUACCGCCUGGGGACUACGGUCGCAAGGCUGAAACUCAAAGGAAUUGACGGGGGCCCGCACAAGCGGUGGAACAUGUGGUUUAAUUCGAUGCAACGCGAAGAACCUUACCUGGGUUUGAAAUUAUAAUGACCGUCUGUGAAAGCAGACUUUCCUUUCGAGGACAUUAUGACAGGUGGUGCAUGGCUGUCGUC